UUGUUUGUAGUCCAACGGUUUGGAUUAUUACCUUCCAAGCAAUAGACCCGGGUUUGAUCCCCGGCAAACGCA
rnacentral:tRNA from 1 species